rnacentral:rRNA from 1 species
CCCAGACUCCUACGGGAGGCAGCAGUGGGGGAUAUUGCACAAUGGGGGAAACCCUGAUGCAGCGACGCCGCGUGAGUGAAGACGGCCUUCGGGUUGUAAAGCUCUGCCAAUCGGGACGAAGAAGAUGACGGUACCGAUGAAGGAAGCUCCGGCUAACUACGUGCCAGCAGCCGCGGUAAUACGUAGGGAGCGAGCGUUGUCCGGAAUUACUGGGUGUAAAGGGAGCGUAGGCGGGGAUGCAAGUUGGGUGUCAAAACUACCGGCUCAACUGGUAGUCGCACUCAAAACUGCAGCUCUUGAGUGAAGUAGAGGCAGGCGGAAUUCCUAGUGUAGCGGUGAAAUGCGUAGAUAUUAGGAGGAACACCAGUGGCGAAGGCGGUCUGCUGGACAGCAACUGACGGUGAGGCGCGAAAGCGUGGGGAGCAAACAGGAUUAGAUACCCUCGUACU